AUUUUGAUGGCUGAUUUAGGCGGUAAAUUGUAAAUUUAUAUAUGGAUAAUCCUCAGAUUU
rnacentral:tRNA from 1 species